CUGCUCAAGAUUACUGGAUCUGGUGAGUCACCGUUCAGAGUUGGGUUCAUGUUCCUGGGGCGCUUCUUCUUACGUUCGCAGGCGGAGCGUCCGUGGAGGAGGCGGCGGGGUAUUGAUGGAAGUGGUACCCUUGAUGGACAGACAGAUUUCAAACUGAAUAUGAGGUUGUCUCUAUCAGCAGCAAGGGAAGAAAACUUGACGGUUAAUCCUGGAAGAUGGCGAGUGCUCUAUCUUGGAGACUUGGAAGAUGGCGAAUCUUGGAAGAACAUCAAAAGGAUGGAAACACCUUGCCACGGUAAUAGCGCCAGAACAGCCGUCGACGGCUUCAAGCUCCUACUUGUGUUUCCGGCGUUUGGCUGUUGCGGCUGUAUGGAGUCAGCAAGCAUGUCCGGCUGA
rnacentral:misc_RNA from 1 species